rnacentral:lncRNA from 1 species
UCACGUGAAGGUCUUGGUGUGGGAACAAACCCGAAGACGGUGUUGGAUGGACCCACCCCGAAGGUGGAAGGACUAAGCAAGCGUUGUGACCUUAGAUGUCACCAAGACGGAGCAACUAAUUAAACUGACUCCGUGUUGAUCCCAGGCAAGCCCCGGAGCAUUAUAAGUCUCCCACUACUUUUGAAUGCAGUUGAGAAUAUAUGUUAUAUAUGUAUUGUUGCAUUAAGUAUAGGAGUUGGGUGAAACCCUUACUGCAUAUAACACUCCUUGUCCAGCAAAUAUACCUAUAACCCUAUGUAGAUUCAGGAUCGAAUCUAAAUGCUUAGUCAUGCUUAGACCGGUAGAAGCCAGGUGAUGUCCUAUCACCUGAGUGAGAUAGGUGGAUACCUGAAAAGGUUGGCUAUAUAUGCUAUCAUGAAAAUAACCAAGUGAUGAGGAUGAAUAAUUGGAGACCGGGCGGGACGAUGGUAGAGAAGUAACAAGACAUGGAGGUCUUGGGUGCCUAUCUAUCCCCGCCUGUGUCGAUUAAGGACCGAUCGUUGACGGCCCUCUUGUCAUGUUGAACGCAUGCCCCACACUUAGCUGGAAGGAUAAGUCGUUCCGACCGCGAAGCCUGAGCACUAUCCGGGCCGGGAAUCGGCCCGAUGUACGCGCUGUAUUGGUGAUGGUUGAGGAGAACGACGAGGGCGCGGCGCGCAACCUUGGUAUACCUUGGAUACCUCGGUCGCCGGAACGGUCCUCGGGUACGGGCGGUGCCUGUCGAACCCGCGAAUUGGUCCUGGAUAGUGCAAUAUGGUGACCUGUAGCUCACUUUGGCCGGUGAGUGUGGUUUGUGUGGGGAAUAACUCGCCAGCUGGUUAGAAAUCGAUUCGAAUCGCCAUCGCUCCUGGACAGUGAGCACUUGACUUGAGCCACGUCAUCGUAGUAAUGAUUAUAGAACACUUGGAUGGUUAUGGUAUGAUGAUGUUGGAAAUGCCACAUCAAAUAUGGGUACUACUGUUGUAUCUUAAUCAAGUGAUUGCUCUAGUACAGGUGCUAAUAUAGAUGACAGGUAAUGAUUAUCAACUUGAGCUAAAUACCUGAAAGGUUACUUAGUUGCAACUUAAGCUUUUUAUGCAAAAAGUGUUGUCAAGCUAGCCCCACCAAUAAAGCCUUGCAUACUCCUUGGUGUCAUAUUAUUUCUGGUUUAUGACGGGUAAGUCUAGCUGAGUACCUUCUCGUACUCAGGGUUUAUUCCCACUUGUUGCAGGUUGUGAUGUAUCAUGGCUACUGCAAGAGUUGGAUGACUCCUAUCAUAUUAGAGGAGUAAGAUCAUGGGCAUGAUCCUUCUUAGUUACCCCAUCUAUGUUGCUUUUGUUGGAGUUGACCUGGAUACUGGCAUGUAUUUGAAAUAAGGGCAAUAUUAGUUUCAA